rnacentral:rRNA from 1 species
UACGUAGGGGGCAAGCGUUGUCCGGAUUUAUUGGGCGUAAAGAGCUCGUAGGUGGUUUGUCGCGUUGUUCGUGAAAACUCACAACUCAAUUGUGGGCGUGCGGGCGAUACGGGCAGACUGGAGUACUGCAGGGGAGACUGGAAUUCCUGGUGUAGCGGUGGAAUGCGCAGAUAUCAGGAGGAACACCGGUGGCGAAGGCGGCUCUCUGGUCCGGACCUGACGCUGAGGCGCGAAAGCGUGGGGAGCAAACAGG